UCGAACUCAGCAACAAACUCGAACUCAGCAACAAACUCGAACUCAGCAACAAACUCGAACUCAGCAACAAACUCGAACUCAGCAGCAAACUCGAACUCAGCAGCAAACUCUGGUGGUAGUUCAAGUGCAGGAAAUAGUGGAGGAUCAAGUUCAGGAUCAAGCGCAGCAGCAAGUUCAUCUUCCAGUACCAGUACCAAUAAUGAAUCAGCACCAUCAAGUAAUUCAGCCUCAAGCUCAAGCUCAAGCUCAAGCUCAGGCUCAGGCUCAGGCUCUGGUGCUGGCUCAGGUUCAGGAUCUGGUUCAGGUUCAGGCUCUGGUGCUGGUGCUGGUUCAGGGUCAGGAUCUGGUUCAGGUUCAAGC
rnacentral:lncRNA from 1 species